AGGUCAGGGUUCUUCAAUUAUAAGCAACAGAAGCGACCUCUGGCUGCAGGGUAACUCACAGCAUUGAUGGAAAAGCUGAAGAACCGAGCUUGUGAGAGGCCAGAAACCCGAGCAGCCAUAGGACAGGCUCUUCAAAACCCCUGUUCUUCAGGCAUUUCAGGCUUUCAGCCCCCCUAGUCAAAUCCAAACACGGGGAAGGGGCUUCUAAUCGAUUUGGCUUGGGAGAGGCAGGGCCCUUUGAUCGGCAGUUCCACCAAACAAAACCAAGAAGCUGUCCCAGAAGAGAGACUGGAGGCAGAACAGGUGACCAGCAUCAUCUUAUUUUACAUCCUGUUAGCGCUUGCCUUCAAGGAGCCUCACCCAGUGGGAGAGGCAGACCUGCAGGUGUAAAAUUGCACUAGUGGAUGAAAAGUGAAACUAACACACAGCAUGGGGGCAGUCAGACGUGUGCUUAGUGGCGCUUCAAUAAGAUUUUUAAGAGGGAAAGUCUCUGAGCACCUGCUCUGGACGGGACGCAGCCUGGGCUAGGCUGGGCUGUCCUCAGGUCCCCAGGACUCCCACUGCCAUUCGGAAGGCUGGCUCUUGUUGGAGUCCUCCGCAUCUCUGCUCAAGCUCACAGGAAACUGGGCCCUGGAGGGAGAGCAGCACACAGAGACGGCUAGGAGAUCCUGCAGUUCCGCACAGCACCCCAGGACUUGGAGCUGGCGCCCACGGAGGGAGUCCCGGGAAGCUGCUGCCCAAUGUAGUUGGUGGCUGCUCUGCUCCCAGUUGUGGGACAUACUUCAGAACUCACCUCCGAAUUUCCACCCCUCAUACUAGGGCCCAGGGAAAACACACACAGGAAGAUGGGUGGAUUGAGGACCAGCUGGAUGGACAGACAUGUUUUAAUUAACAAAGCCCGUUGGUGUUCAUUAUUUUGUUCAGUUUCAUUGGGACUUCUGUUUCCCCACUUCACUAACAUACAAACUGAGGCUCAGAGAGGUUUAUUCAAGGUCAAUCCCAUUAUCAGACGGGGAGCAUUAUACUAUAGUUAUACAUAGUCACAUACACAUACGCACUAAGGGCCAAAGCCCAGUCUAUAUCUUACAUGAUCCUCUCCCCAGCCCAAUGAGAUGGACGCUGUUGCCCUUACUUCACCAAAGAAUUAGUGACGUGCCCCUAAGAGGAAAACUGAGAUGCCAACAAAGAUUGGACCCAAGCUCAGAAUCUAUAUGAAAGAAUAAGUGCUUAAAAAAAAAAAGGCUUUCGGGGCUGGCCCUGUGGCCGAGUGGUUAAGUUCGCGCGCUCCGCUGCAGGCGGCCCAGUGUUUCGUUAGUUCGAAUCCUGGGCGCGGACAUGGCACUGCUCAUCAGACCACGCUGAGGCAGCGUCCCACAUGCCACAACUAGAAGAACCCACAACGAAGAAUACACAACUAUGUACCGGGGGGCUUUGGGGAGAAAAAGGAAAAAAUAAAAAAUCUUUAAAAAAAAAAAAAGCGUUUAAAAAAAAAAAGGCUUUGUAAUCAGAAUACGAAAUUAUACGUUCACUGUGAUUACCACUG
rnacentral:lncRNA from 1 species